rnacentral:lncRNA from 1 species
AAAGAAUAAAUUUGGGUUCAAGCGACCCAUUUUUAAGUGUAAUUUCCGGACCUAGCCCAUAAUUUCCAAGCCCAUAAUUCCUAGGCCCAUACCCCUAACCUAAUCCCUACCCCUAUAUAAUAUUAUCUAAUCCCUAAAUUGACCUACACCUAAAAGACCUAAGCCUCCCAUCGUUUCUCAUCAGCAAAGAAACCCCACCCCCCUAACAUCUUCUUCUUCUUCAGUUUUUGACAACCAAAACCAAAAACCUUGAACACCCAUAAGCAACCAGCCGCCAAGAAAAAAAAACAGAACGCCCUCCAUCAUCCUCUCAUCAUCUGUCGCAACUCCACCAUCUCCGUUUCCUAACUCGCCGGAGAAGCAAUGAAAACCGGCCAAAAACUCCACUGAAACCAGCCAAGAAAAGCUUCAAAAUUGCAGAAAUUUUCAGCCAAAAAACAGCACCAAAAAUACCUCCAAACCAGCCCUGAAAACCAAUCUAUAAAACAUCCAAAUAAAACACCAUAGCUACUGCAAAAUCAGCUAUUUAGAGCCACGAAAUCAGUCCAAAAACAACAGCUUUUAAGCAACCCAGUAGUUGAGUUUCUGACCAAGGUCGUUUUCGAGGUCACCGUCGAGGUUAUACUCGAUCGAUUCUGUUCCGAUCAAGAUCUAAUAUCGCGCUCAUAGUUGCUAUUGUAACCCGUUUACACUGAAGAAAUAAAGGUUCGUCUCAGUCCUGUUUGCUCCAUCUGAAUGUUUGGACUUAAACUUUUCUACUUUAGAAUUUUGAAGUGUAUUUGUUAUGGGUUGGUUGAUGGAUAUUGCUUAUUCUUUUUGUUAUUUUUAUUUUAUAUAGUGAAUCCAUUCUUAGUUUGAGAUCUUUGUGAUGACUAUACUGAUUUUCUGUUUCUUGUUAUUAGUUUUAUAAUUGCAAUUUAGUAGUAGCAAUUUAGUUUUACAAGUCUAAUUUGUCAAGCCUUAUUGAUUUUAGUCGGGAAAAUUUGGUGCUAGAAAGCUGUGACUUAGCUAAAACAUUUAUAUAUAGUUGCAAUUUGGAAAAUACAAAGUUUUCUAAACACUAUCGUGGUGGGGCCUCACUGUCUCUUUUGAUUUCCAUGUCUUCAAAUUAAUUGUUCUUCUUUUGGCUUGGUCUUUUCUCUUUCAUUUCUUUUGGAUGAUAGACCAAAUGAGCUAAAAGUCAAUUAGCACGCAUGAAUAUUUACUUGAUACAUUACUGUUUGAGUACAAUUUUUGCAUUAUUGAGAUACUUUAAGUGGAAUGAAAGGAGUAGAAAUCUGAAAGGAUUAUUGAUGUAAAGUAAAUGUCAUUGUAGGCUCCUGUUUGUUGGAUUAAGUGCGUAAUAGUUCAAGUUGUUUUUAUAAGUUAUGUGGUGUUAAAUUGGAAUGGCCAUUGGGCCUAACCCUUCGGUAGAAUGUUGAUCUCAAACUUAGGAAUAUAAUCACUCUUGAAUAUCGUAGCUGGCUUUAGGCGCGAUUUAAUAUAUUGUCGUGAUUGUGUACACGUUCGCGUGACAUAAUUACGAUCCUAAAAUAAAUCGAGGGAUGCUUUCGCGCAACUUCAACAAAGCUUUUCUUAAAAAAUAAACAAAGCGUUAUUAAUUGUGGACACGUUCGCGUGACAUGAUUUUUGACGCGCCAAAGGAAAAGAGUAUACAUACACGUAACUCACUUCUUUAAUUACGAACAAAUCAAGUGAUUUAAAAGCGAUAAAAAGAUAAAUGAACAUAGGUCCUAAAAAUGAGUAGUUAAACAAUUUAAGCCAAUUAAUAAUCACUAAGUGACCGUGCUAGAACCACAAAACUCAGGAAUGCCUAAUACCUUCUCCCAAGUUAACAGAAUUCCUUAUCUAGAAUUUCUGGUUCCCAGACUUUAUAAAAUAAAAUUUUCCUCGAUUUGGGAUUUUAAAAUAAACCGGUGACUUGGGACACCAAAUAAACUAUUCCAAGUGGCGACUCUGAUAAUUUAAAUAAUCUCAUUUCGAAUAAUGUCACUUAAAUUGGAAAAAUUCCCUCAUAUACUCCCUCGGGUGGUAAAAGUGUGAUAGUUGUGAAAUGGUGGAAUAAGGGAGGAUUUUGAUAUUGAUUAUAAUGAUAUGGUGGGAUCGGUUUGCCCGCCAUAACGGUUGUGUACGUAAUACUUGAUAUUGAUAAAUUAUGACAUGGUGAAAUAAGGGAAGAUUAUGACAUUGAUUAUAAUGAUAUGGUGGAAUCGGGUUGCACGAUGCAACAGAUGUUAUAUGUGUUCUUGAUAUUGAUAAAUGAUGCUAUGGUGAAUUAAGGGAGGAUUGUUUGUGUAAAGUGGGAUCGAGUUGUACGUCGCAACAAAUUAUGUAUGUUGUAAUCAUUGUUAUUGUGUUGGUUUCCAGCAUUUUUACGAGAAAUUAUGAGAUCGGUUAUUCUGUGUUCUCUGAUUGCAAGGAUUAAGUUCUUUUUCUUAAGUUAACUGCCUUACUUUCUUUUCCUGCACUGCACGCCGCAGGGGUUAUUAUAUUGUACCUAUUGAGCGUGAGUGCUGAGUAUGAGCGCUGAUUAAUAAGAGUUGAGUCAUGAGUGACUGAGAGGCUUGCCCGAUGGGCUAUAUAUACAUGUAUACGAGUGAUGCUUUGCUUGAGGGGCCUGUUUAUGUACUUCUUGGUUUCACUCCUCUUUAAAGUGAGUUUCUAUUGAAUAUGUUGAUUUAAUUACUGCUUUCACUCAUUUUUUAGACGGAGCCUCUAUUGAAAAUGUUGAACAAAUGCUUUAAACAACUUUCAUUUAAACUGAAGUUUUUAAGUUAUGAAAUGGUUAUGAAUUUCUGUUUCGCCGAGGGGCUGUAUAUGAACUAUGUUUUGCCCGAGGGCCCGAUUAUGAUUUUCAUCACUUUCACUAUAAAUUUCACUGAACUUCUACUGAAAAUUGUUAGAAAGGCAUUUUCAAAGGAUAUUUCCCGAAAUGGGAGUUGAACGAGAUGAUUUGGUUUGUAUCCUGUUUUGAAAACAUGCAGUAUCCUCUAUGGUGCCAUGAUGUGGUUUUACGUGAUUUCUUACUGCUAAGACUUUAUUUACUUUUAUUACUUACUGAGUUGGAGUAAUCACAUUACUCCCUGCACCUUGUGUGCAGAUUCAGGUAUUCCGGAACCCGGUAGCGGGUGUUGAUUGCUUAGAGGCAGAGUCACCGAAGUUAGCAAGGUGGCUGCACGACGUUCGCAGCACUGCUUUCCUUCCUCUUGUUUUCAUUAGACUGUAUUUAGUAUACUUUUAGACUCUUGUUAUAUUCAGAACUUUGUAGAUGCUCGUGACUAGUGACACCUCGAUGUCGGACUUGUGUAUUUAUUCUGUACUUUUCAUUUCAACUUACACCGAGACUAUUGAUUUAUAAAUGGUAUAUAAAUAAUUGUUAUUGAAUAAUGGUUGAUUUGGGAGUUGUGUCGGUUGACUUAGUUUCACGAAGGCGCCAUCACGACUAGGUCGGUGCUUGGGUCGUGACACCAAUAAUAAUAUAUUAAUAAUGCGAAUAAUCAUGGAUUUAUUAAAAUCGGCAGUAAACUCAAGUAAGUCAAGAAACAAGUAAACAUUCCUUUUUAUAUUUAGAAGUCUCCAAAUUCAUAAUUCAUUAUUUAUCAAUUUAUCAGACCAGGGAGGCAAUAUCAAUUUGGAAAUCUCAAGCAAGCAUUACAAGCAUGCACAAAUCAUGCCGAGGUUAUACAGCCCAAUCCAACAAAUAUUUAGAUUGUGCACUGCCAGAGGGUCGAAUGGCGCGAACCUUUCAUCUACAAACUUUGGGUGAGUGAUUCUAAUCCAUUUCUAAUCAUAUUCCAUCAAUUUAUCUUGGAUUUUAACAUCAAAAUCAUUUGAAUCAAAGUGAAAAUUUGUGAAACCUUGUCAAGUUUAUGAAAAAUAAGAAAUUGAGUUUUGAGAGUCGAUUUGCACUCGAAUUUUGAAACUAAUGACAUAUAUGAACUCGUGGAUUCGUGGGUAGUCGGAAUCUAUUAUUGGACUCGGGUUUUGACCGGGCGAGCCCCGGGUUGACUGUUGUUGACUUUUUGGGAAGAGUGUAAAGAUCUAGUUUUAUCUAUUGUAAUUGAUUUCCCUAGAAUUUUUGAUGAUAUUAAGUCGAUUUUGGUUAGAUUCGGUUGGUCUGAGGAAAUGCCCCGGUUGAGCUUUGAUUUGAGGGAAUUUUGAACCCUUGAACUAUAUGUUAUGUGAAUUACGUGUUAAAUUCUCCUUAGGUAGCACGUAGUUGCUACCUCGUUAAAAACCUUGCCGGUUAAACCCAUUUGGAACAAAAUCCAAUUUAAGGGAAAAAGAGUGCAAUGCAUGCUUUAAAAUCUAAGGUCUUUGUGUAAAUGAUGAUGCCUUCGAGAUCGUAUGCCUUCGAUAGCUUCGAUCGAAAAUUUGUAAUGAGUUAGUUCUAAACUUAAAUAGACAAGGAUAAAAUCAUACCUGAGCAGUAGUACCGGUUGAGUUAUGAUAUGUUCCAAUUGUUUGGCAGUUGUUCACCUCCCAUUGUGCUAAGUUUGUAAGGUCCUUUAACAACAACUCCGAGGACUCGGUACGGUCCUUCCCAGUUGUUGAUACCCAAUUUUUCCCUAUAUAUAUUUUUAAUAGAUAUAAAUACUUUCAAAAUAGCGUAUAUGCAUAUAUAAGCAUGCAUAAGCAUUUUAUAAUUUUUUCUAUAAUUUUAAAGGCUUCAAAUUGAUUUAUUCCCCCCCCUUUUUACUCAUAAAAUCUCCAAUAAUUAUCUUUCAAAUUAUAUUUGUGGCGAUUUAGCCAUCUAAAUUCUGUAUUUAUGCCAAAAUAUUGUUAAAAUAUUUUGGUGCAUUUUUUAAUAAUUGCAUUUGCAUUUUCUAAGCUAAUUUGCAUAUAUUUCCAAUACUAGCCCUAUUAAUGCAUAAUUACAUUUAUAUGCAUAAAAUAAUUUUCUAUAUUUUUAAAAUGUUAAAUAGCUAUUUUAAAUUAUUUUAGUACAUGAAAUUAUUUUUUAGAAAUCAUUUAUAAUUUAUUAUAAAUUAUAUAAUAUUAAAUUGGCUAUUUAAAACAUAGCCAAAUUAUAUUUCAAUUUUAGCCUAAAUUCAACCCAAUACCCAGCCCAAUUCCUUAUUAAAUUACCUGACCUAUGCCCUAAAUACACUUACCCGACCCAAGAACCCAUCAGAUCAUGGCCGUUGAUCUUCGUUAAAACUUGCCUUUUUAAUUCCAAACGACCCCACCCCUAAUCAUUUCAACCCACCCCGCCGCCCUAAGGUCCUCUCUACUCUCAAAACACUCUCAACCUAACCCUAAUCUUCCAACUCCAAUUUUCCAUCUCCAGCUAUCUCCGGUGACCUCUCAUCGUCUCUUACACCUCCAAUGGCUUCUCUCAUGCCAUUAUCGCCUUCUCUAAGGUCCUCAAGGGCCCAGGGCCAUGCCGACUUGCAUCUAGGGUUAAUCUCCUGCCUGUUCCUAUCUAUUCCAGUGUGAUUCCAACUAGAAUCAUUCUAUGUUUUCUACGAUCCUUGGGAUUCUAGACAGGUUUCUUCAUAUCUAUAUGGGUUUCUUUCGAAACCCUAAUUUCUUUUCUACACACCUCCUAGAUCUACACAGAUCUAGGACGAUUUGAGUUUGUUUCUUGAAUGUUUUACACUAUCCUUGAGUUUCUUUACAAGAAUCAUGUGAUUUCAAGUGUUUUUCAUCUUCUUCUAAAAAUAGGGUUUUUGGAACUUCUUUAUAAAACCUUGUCUAACUGAUUUUUUGUGUUUAAACUUCUAUUACUCUGGUCAAAAUUGUGAAUGCAUCAUAGUCAAACCUAGUCGGAUCAAUAUGAUGUCCACAUAAUGAUCCUUUAAGAUAAUCCUUAUCCAAAAGCACAUCGGAUUUUCCAUAAUCCCAACUGACACAACCAUGUGGAACCAUCCUCCUUUCUCACAAACAAAACAGGUGCUCCCCACGGUGACGCACUAGAUCUGAUAAAACCUUUUUCAAGCAAGCCCCUUAGUUGUUACUUUAACUCGUUCAGCUUUGCGGGGGCCAUUCUAUAAUGGGGAAUAAAUAUUGGAUGAAUAUCUUAUAGUAGUAGGUCAAUGACAAGCUCAAUUUCUCGCUCUGGCGGAAGACUCGAAAGUUCAUCGGGAAAAACAUCGGAAAACUCAAUAACUACAGGAAAGAACUGAAUGGUUGGUAACUCUACAAACCCAAACUCAGUGAUAAAUAUAGUCCUUUCUGAUUAUCUUUCUUGCCUUGAGAUAGGAGAUAAAUUUACCUCUUGUCAAUACGGUAUUACUUUUCCAUUCCAAAACAGGCUCUCCUGGAAAUUGAAAUCAAACCAUCUUUGAUCCACACUUGAUGUUAGCAUAACAAAAGGCCAAUCAAUCCAUACCUAUUAUGAUAUCAAGUCCUACCCAACCGAACACCACGUAUCUUAUCCUUGUUUAUUAUCAAACCUAGUACGGGCCAUUUCAGGCCACAUCCAUAUAUAUAGGUAACAAUAUUAAAACAUAAUUGCAUAACUAAUUUACAAAAAGGUUUAUAUACAUAGGGGUCGACUAGGCCGUAGACAUAUCAUACCCAAAACUAUAUACAUGAUAAUGUCUGCAAAACCUCUAAGUAGGCAUAAUCAUAAUAUAUACAAGUCGGGACGAGGCUCCCUACGUCCUCAUAAAACAACCUAACACAUUUAGAACCCUGACUUGUCAAUAUUCCAAGAAGAUGUGGAACUCAUCAACCAAAAACUGACACUUGGAGGAAGUCUAAAGUAUAGGGUCCUUGCCUCGUCCUAUAUAAAAACCUCGAUCAGACACACUUCGAAGCGGAAUCUUCAUAUCCUUAUCGGUUACCUUCCUCCUCUUGGCCCGACUACUAUCCUCUUCCUAUGCAUAUCCUAUAACAUACACUGGCGAACCUUGAUUGAUGGACUCCCAAGACUAUGGACUAUCUUGAACCUCAGAAGAGCUGGUGUCCGCAAAUGCCUUGACAUAGUUUUGAGCCUGAGGGAAACCCGGUUGUGCCAAUCCAUGCACUACUCCCCUCAUAGCCUUAUCAAUGGGCUGUGAUAAUGAAACUAAGGGCCUUGGCGAGGUUGGAACUCCUCUCACCCCAUCUGCUGCCGGAGUGGUGGAAACAGCUCGAACGGAUGACUCAUAUGGACCCUCAGAUGGAUCCUCCUCAAUAGAAACCAUGAAGUAUAACUUAUAUCUCUUUCUAACACCUUCGUAGCCUUCUGACCCAUGCUAGCAGCUGUAGUCUUCGAAGGCAUCGCUAAAAACGUAACACAUCGCUAGGAACAUGAAUGCUUAUAUCGCACGAUCUAAGAUAAAAAGAGAGGAUAGCAUCUUAUAUGUCCGGUAGCCUCCUAUCUAUAAGUGUGGUGCACAACACACCUAUAAGAAAAACUCUACUAGACACAGUCUGUAGACAACCCUAGGACAGAACUGCUCUGAUACCACUUUUGUCACGACCCAAACCGAUGGGCUGCGACAGGUGCCUGAGUCUUACCUGUCAAACACCCCUAAGCAUGCAUCUAAGACAUGAACCCGAAUAACAUCUACUGAAUUAUGAAAAUAACAUACAUGAAAGAAACCUGCCUACAAGGCAUAUGUACGUAUACAUGCAAAAUACAGUGGGCGAGCCGGUAAUGCUGCUAUAGACAACUAUACAUCCAGAACUAAAAGCCGACAAGGCCACAUACAACCCAACAAGACAUGCUGACAAUAGACCUCCAAUAGAAACCUAACUAUACAAAGAUAGGACUAAGCCAUGUCAUACACAUAUACAUAUAUAAACAUAUCAUAACAAAAUAAAAAGCAGCUCCGGAUCAAGUGGAGCACGCCAACUCUCGCUGAUCAGGGAUCCUAAGAAGAGGGACCGUCAGCUUGCCUACCUGCACCUGCGAGCAUGAAAUGCAGGCCCCGUGAAAUAGGGCAUCAGUACAAAAAAUGUACUGAGUAUUUAAGGCAUGAAAAUUAUUACGUAAAAGAUUGACGAAAAAUAGAAUAAAGAAACACAUUUUGAAAUUUGAAUAACUUUGUAAAUUCUGAAACGUUUAUAAUGUCAUGCAUGUGCAUAUAAAUGUCGUGUCAUGCAUAGGUAUGAGUGUACAUAAUAUUAUCAAUCCACUGAGGGCAUCCCAUCAUAUCGUCUCGACCACUGUGGGCAACAUCAUCAACAUAUACCAGCUGAUCAGAUGGUGGUGCAUAUAUAAUACCGUAACCUUUUUCCAUAUUCCAUAUACAUAUAUUUAAAUAUAUACGCGUAUAUAACGUCAUCUGGUCAUGGGUAAAUGCAUAUGUAUAAAUGGGUGAAAUGCAUGAAAAAUACGUAAUAAUAUCAAUAAUCCUUCCGAAUAAACUUUUUCAACUACGUAUUAUUCUGAGACCCAUGAACAGAAGAUAAUAAUAAUUUUCAUGGGGAAUCAAGAAUAUAGACACCCCAAAUAUUUUUAUGAAUAGAGUAAUUUGUGGAAACUAUGCGUUUGCUCGUUUCUUCGUUAUAAUUUGGACCAUGCGAAAACAAAGAAGGGAUGGCCUUAACAUACUUGGAGUAGGAAAAACUCCGUAUAAUAUUCCUGGCGAAGACUGCACCAUACUCUUUUAGAAGCUUGAAAUUUGCUUCAACAGAAUUUAGCUACGGACCAUGUGAAAUUAUCUUUUGAUUCCUUAGAAUCUCGAACGAAAUUUGCUUCAAACUUUGCUUCUGUUCUAACGCUUUGUGAACCCAAGAUGGAAUGGAUUCAAUCUAAAUGUCAAACUUUAUUCCAACGUUUUGUUGAAGUUUCUUUUGUUUCUAGCUUUUGAAUGGAAUUGAAUACUAAAUUGUUAUAUCACAUUUAUAGGUUGUUCAGAUUCCUACAAUGAGAUAAAGACUUAGAAGUCUUAUCUUGAUAAAGUUAAGCUUUAUUUAUUUCUUAGGUGUAGACACCUAUUCACAAUUUGUUUUGAGACAUCUUUUAAAUUGGUGGACUUGUACCACAUGGAGAGUGGGAUAAAGAUUAGUAAUCUUUACCCACUUAUUAGUUAACUGGGUAAUGUCCCGUUAUCCGGUAAUUAACCAACUACCCGCAUAAUUUAAAAAUUACCCCAAAUUACUUAGAAUUCUAAUUAUUAUUAUUAUUUUAUUAUUAUACGUUAUAUAUACUUUAUACAUUGUAUUACCAUGGUCAUAUGGUACCUUGCAUGGUACUAGUUCAUAAUUAUCGGGUAUUAUUGCUCGACCCGUAUUUUUUCCCAAAUUGGCCACUUUUAAUGAAACUCGCUUUCUUUAAUUCGUGUACCCUUUAUCCUUCAUGACACUUCUUUAUCGCUUGUUAUAAAUAGCGUAAAUACGUUAACAUCAAGAUGAUCUCAUACCCAAGUCUACGUUAAUUAACUGAAGACCAUACUUUUAACGUACGAAAACACGAGAUGUAACAGCGGGUGUUAUAGAUUUUGACGUAUAAAUUUCUAAGGCCCUUGAGUUGGAGUUAGCGGCACAAAGAGGUCUUCCGACCAGGCCUGAUUCUACCGAUUCUUCUGGUUCUAAUUCUGAGUUCUCGGGAACUUGAGAGGAACCGGAAGGUGAUGAUGUUGAGGGCCAAAAUGAUGAAGGCCAAGAUAUCGAACCGGCGACGGAUCUACCCACUUCCUUUGGGGGCGCAUACGCUUCUCUUCCUCCAGGUUCCGGAGAUGCAACAACUUAGCUUUUUAUUUAUUUUCCUAACUUUUGUACCUGUGUAGUUUUGGCACUUUUAUUGUGAAUAAAAAUAUCUUUUGCUCAAGUAUUACAUGAAUCUUUCUGCGUUCUUUUGUUUGAACAUUUAUGCAAGUUUUCAUUUUUGCGUUCUUUCUCGCUUUAGUGUUUUGCGCAAGUUUUCUUUUUGCGUCUUUUAUCGUUUAAGUAUUUGCGCGAGUUUGCUUUUUGCAUUUUUUGUGCAAGGAUUUAGUUGUAUUUUUCCUCGAAGGCAUUUGAUUUCGGAGAUAAGUUCUUCUGAAAUUAACCCUUUAACCUAUGAGUUUUCAUAAGAGAGGGCCAUCUUAUAUUUAUGGUACUCUUGCAGAGGACGUCUCUUGUUCAUUACAGAACUAGCAUUUGAAGUACUUAUUUAACUUUUAAAUGACAAAAUCAGUUCAUCAUUCAGACAACAAACAAGAUAUAAAUAAAAGGGCUUUACUUUAUUUCUUCCAGUUUCAAAAAGUACAUAAACAUUCAUUAUGCUAAAAAGAAAUUGACAUUUCUUAUGGCUUAUUUGUGCAUAUUGUUUCUACGAGGCAUGUCGCAAAGUCCCCAGUCCCGAUGAUACAAUUAUGUUUCCAAUUUUCAUAUUCUGUUCACUGUGGAAAUCAUUAUUGCCAUAUCCUCAUAUCAUUCUCCCCCUAGUGUUCGAAUGCGAAGAAUGUGAACUUGAACACUGGAAGUUUUGCCUUUUUGAGGAUUCUACUAAUGAAUUGCCAGAUGCCCUUCAGUUCGGUAACAAACUUCACUUCCCCUUAGGAAUUUAUGCUAUUGAGCCAAAGACUAUCUAACAAUACCUUAGUGGUUUGCACUUGCAAAUGGUCGGGUAACCUUUAUUCGAUAGCAAACUUAACUUCCAGUAGGAAUUUUGUUAGCGAGCCAAAGGUUACCUAACCGCUCCAGAGUGGAUCUUUGCUUGUGUGGCUUGCUAUUAAAUGCCUUAUUGUUACUAUUGAUACCUUCUUCGUAGUAUGCUUGCAGUUGUUUCCUUGUUCAAAAUCUAGCAAGAAAAAUCCAGUUAGGACAAAACUGGACGAAGGGAAAAAGAGUACAGUACAUAACUUUCAGUACUUGUGAUGUUUAUUAUCAAUAAUAUCUCUUAAGGUGUGCCACAUUCCAGUUGCUUGGAAACUUUUUUCCAUCCUAAUUCUCCAACUCGUAUGAACCUUUCCCGGUGACAGCUGAAACCCGGUAGGGGCCUUCCCAGGUUUGACCUAGCUUUCCUGCGUUGAGUUUCGGGUUUUUUGGGUUACUUUACUUAAAACCAAGUCUCCCACUUUGAAAUAACGGAGGUUGGAUCUUCUAUUAUAAUAUCUCUCUAUUCUCAACUUUUGGGUUGUCAUUCUUAUAUGCGUCAAGUUCGUUCGCUCAUCGAGUAGCUCCAAGUUGACUAACAUCACCUCGUUGUUUGUCUCUUCACUUGCUUGGAAAUAUCUCAAGGUAGGCUCUCCUACUUCCACCGGGAUUAAGGCUUCUGCUCCGUAUACAAGGGAGAAAGGAGUUUCUCCUAUGCUUGAUUUGGCCAUUGUUUGGUACGUCCAUAGCAAUCCAGGAAGUUCCUUAGGUCAUGUACCUUUAGCCGCUUCCAACCUCUUCUUGAGAUUUUGUAUAAUCAUUUUGUUCAUUGAUUCCGCUUGACCAUUUGCGCUCGGAUGAUAGGGCAAAGAUGUGAUUAUUUUGACUUUCAAGUCUUCAAGGAACUUUGUGAUCUUUGCGCCUAUCAAAUGUGGCUCGUUAUCGCAGGCUAUCUCUUUUGGUUUUCCAAAUCUGCAAAUUAUUUUUUCCCACAAGAAAUCCACUACCUCAUGUUCGCCGAUCUUUUGAUAAGGACCUACUUCAACCCACUUAGAAAAAUAGUCUGUUAAAAUUAAAAUAAAAUCUUACCUUACCAGGGGCCGACGGUAGUGGUCCGGCGAUGUCCAUUCCUCACUUCAUGAACGACCAUGGAGAUAGAAUUGAGUGUAAUGGUUUUGCUGGUUGAUGUACUAGCGGAGCGUAACAUUGACACUUAUUGCAUUUUUGCACGAAAACUUUGGCGUCUUGUUCUAUUCGGGGUCAAUAGUGUCCUGCCCUUACCAGUUUUAGUACUAAGGAGUCCACACCUGAAUGAUUUCCACAUAUCCUUUCGUGGACUUCUCGUAUAACAUAAUUAGCUUCAGAGGCUCCCAAGCAUAGGACCAACAAGCCUUGGAAAGAUUUCCUUACAGUUGACCUCUUUUGAAGUUAUAUCGUGUUGCUUUGGUGCAUAGCGCCCGUAAUGCCUUGGAGUCUUCGGGCAACUUCCCGUGUUCGAGUUAAUCAAUGAUCUCAUUCCUCAAGUCCCAGAUCAAUUUAGUCGUAUUCACCUCAUAGUAGCUAUCUGCAUCCAAAAUCGAGUGCAUGAGCUGUACUACCGUCCCAAAAUCUGAUCCCUUCAUUUCCGUUGAUUAACCGAGUUUAGAGUGCAUCUACUUCUGUAUUUUCUUCCCUCGGGAUAUGCAUAAUUUACCACUCUCAGGAUCGAGCAAGUAGAGUUCAAACCUUCACUACGUAUUGAUGCAUGCUCUCCUCUUUGGUUUUGAGAAUCCCGUAGACCUGAUUUACCACUAGCUGGGAGUCACAUUUGAUUUCUAUGACCCCGGAAUCUAGUCUCCGGGCCAAUUUGAGUCCUACAAUCAAAGCUUCAUACUUUGCUUCAUUGUUAGUCAAAGGAUCCAUUCUUAUGGCUUUCCUUAGGGUUUCUCCCGAAGGCGUGGUUAACAUUAUGCCAAGACCCGACCCCUUUACAUUGGAAGCUCCAUCCGUAAAUAAGGUCCAAAUUUCUGAUGUCAAUUCUGACACUUUCACUACUUCUUUGGUUGCUAGAGGCAGCAAUCCCUGACUGAAAUCAGCCACGAAGUCGGCCAAAACCUACGACUUAAUGGUAGUCUUAGGUUUAUGCUCUAUGUCGAAUUCACUCAUUUAGACGACCCAUUUGGAUAAUCUACCUGAGAGUUCGGGUUUGUGAAGGAUAUUCCGCAGGGGAAAGGUAGUCACCACAUCUAUCAGGUGACACUAAAUAUAAGGCCUCAGCUUCCAAGCGGCGACUACGAGAGCUAAGGUCAACUUUUCCAAAUGCGGGUAGCAAGUUUUUGCUCCCGUUAAAAUUCUACUAACGUAAUAAAUGGGAGAUUGCUUACUAAAAUGGCGCUUAUCGCUACCUUUGAGACCACUAGGCAGAUUAACAAUGUUUCCCCUUCCUCCUGCUUUGAUAGUAUUGGAGGGCUUGGCAAAUACCUCUUCAAAUCCCUCAAAGCAAUUACUAGGUGAAAACCCCUCUAAAAAAGCUCCAAAAUCACCCAAAAUAUAAGAGAAAUGGGUUAUAAAUGGCUUAAAUCCCUUAAUAAAAUGAAGCCUUCUGCCUCCAGGACUUCCGCAUCUGCGGUCAUUGCGCCGCAUCUGUGGGACAAGGUCCGCUUAUGCGGAAUUCCUCAGGUGCAACACUGGCCGCUUAUGUAGACGGGAUCCCGCUUCUGCACACGUUUCUCCACUUCUGCGGACCACUGGCCAAAUGCCCCAAAGCCGCUUCUGUAGCCACAAGCUCGCAUCGGCGGGCUCGUAGGUGCGGGCACACCAGAACUGGUGCACUAGCAGCCCCCUUGAGUUCUAAUUCGAUCUGUGCAUUAUCUGGAUUGCACCAGAGGCCUCCCGAGGCCUCAUCAAACAUACCAACAAGUUCGUAAAUAUGAGACGGGCUUGAUCAAACCCUUGGAACGUGGAUAACAACACCAAAACUAAGAAUCACACCCCAAACCAAAUAGAAUCAACUUAUGAACUUCAAGUUUUUCCAACUCGCUUCGAGCGCGCUGAAUCAUACUUAAACUACUCGAAAUGACUCCCAUUUUUGCGUGCAAGUCUUAAAUUACCAUACAGAACUAUCCCCAGGCUCGGAAUCCCAAAAGAACCUCGAUAACACCAAAACCUACUCCAAACAAAAUUUAAAGAACUUUAAAACCUUUAAUGAGCCAACUUUCACUAUUAAGCGUCGAAACGCUCCCGGGUCAUCCAAAAUAUGAUCUGAACAUACGGCCAAGUCCAAAAUCAUCAUACAAACCUAUUAGAGCCAUCGAAUCCCGAUUUCGAGAUUGUUUACUAAAAAUGUUGACUCAAGUCAAACUUAGCUCUUUUUGGCAAGUAUUAAGGAACCUAGUGUUCCGAUUUCAAUCCGAACCCUUCCAAGCCCGAAUUAACCAUCCCUACAAGUCAUAAAAUAGUAAAAGCACAUACGGGGAAUCUUAUUUAGGGGAACAUGGAUCUAGAAAGCAAAAUAAUCGGUCGGGUCAUUACACUCCCGAGUUAGAAUCUUAUCAGGUGCCAAGAUAUUUCCUGGUACCAGAAGAGACAGACUCAACGAAAUCCACAGCGGAAGAGCUUGAGCAAGUCGCAUUGUUAGAAAAGUUCUUGGAGAGGAAACUCCACUUGGGGACAUGAUUGCAUUCUGAGCUGUUUGAUAACAAGAUGUUUGAAAAACUUAUAAGGAAAACCGUGGAAGUUUAUAUAGGCGAUAUGCUUGUAAAGUCUUUGAACGUGGGUGAUCAUCUUAAGCAUUUACAAGAAACUUUUUACAUCUUAAAGGAGCAUAACAUGAAGCUUAACACCAAGAAAUGCGCGUUCGGGGUCAGCUCUGGCAAGUUCCUAGGAUUUUUGGUAUCACAAAGGGGGAUUGAGGUAAACCCUGACAAAAUCAAAGCCAUCCCAGACAAGCUAUCAAGCGUGAAAGAAGUUCAAAGGCUCACAAGGAGAUUGGUGGCUUUGACCAGGUUUAUUUCACGGCCAUCAGGGAAAUGCCACCGUUUCUUCACACUACUAAAAAGGAAAAAUAACUUUGAAUGGACCCCGAAAUGCCAGCAGGUGGGAGAAUAUUUCUGUAGAGGUUGACCAACUUAAAGAAGAACUUCAGCCUCUAGAGGCUUCCCUCAUUUUCAUGUAUAGUACGAGGAGAAAAACCUUGGAAAGGGCCAAAGCGGGUGUCACAACCCCAACCGAUGGGCCGCGACGGGUGCCCGAGUCUUACUUGUCAAACGCCCCUAAGCAUGCAUCUAAGAUAUGAACCUGAAUAACAUCUAUUGAAUUACGAAAAUAGCAUACAUGAAAGAAACCUUCCUACAAGGAAUAUGUACGUAUACAGGAAGAAUACAGUGGGCGAGCCGGCAAGGCUGCUAUAGACAACUAUACAUCCAGAACUGAAAGCCGACAAGGACACAUACAACCCAACUAGACAUACUGUCUAAAGACCUUAAAUAGAAACAUAACUGUACAAAGACAGGACUGAGCCACACCAUACCCAUAUACAUAUAUAAACAUAUCAUACCAAAAUCAAAANNNNNNNNNNNNNNNNNNNNNNNNNNNNNNNNNNNNNNNNNNNNNNNNNNNNNNNNNNNNNNNNNNNNNNNNNNNNNNNNNNNNNNNNNNNNNNNNNNNNNNNNNNNNNNNNNNNNNNNNNNNNNNNNNNNNNNNNNNNNNNNNNNNNNNNNNNNNNNNNNNNNNNNNNNNNNNNNNNNNNNNNNNNNNNNNNNNNNNNNNNNNNNNNNNNNNNNNNNNNNNNNNNNNNNNNNNNNNNNNNNNNNNNNNNNNNNNNNNNNNNNNNNNNNNNNNNNNNNNNNNNNNNNNNNNNNNNNNNNNNNNNNNNNNNNNNNNNNNNNNNNNNNNNNNNNNNNNNNNNNNNNNNNNNNNNNNNNNNNNNNNNNNNNNNNNNNNNNNNNNNNNNNNNNNNNNNNNNNNNNNNNNNNNNNNNNNNNNNNNNNNNNNNNNNNNNNNNNNNNNNNNNNNNNNNNNNNNNNNNNNNNNNNNNNNNNNNNNNNNNNNNNNNNNNNNNAGUACGAAAAAUGUACUGAGUGUGUAAUGCAUGAAAAUUAGUAUAUAAAAGACAUAGACGAAAAAUGGAAUAAAGAAACACAUCUUUUAAAUCUGAAUAACUUUGUAAAUUUUUAAAACAUUUUAUAAUGUCAUGCACGUGACAUAUAAAUGUCGUGUCAUGCAUAGGUAUAAUUGUACAUAAUAUCAUCAAGCCACUGAGGGCAUUCCAUAAUAUCGCCUCAGCCACUGAGGGCAUUCCAUAAUAUCGCCUCAGCCACUGUGGGCAACAUCAUCAACAUAUACCAGCUGAUCAGGUGGUGGUGCGUAUAUAACGCCGUAAUCUUUUCCCACAUCCCAUAUACAUAUAUUUACAUAUAUACGCAUAUAUAACUCCAUAUGGUCAUGGGUAAAUGCACAUGUUUAAAUGGGUGAAAUGCAUGAAAAAUACGUAAUAAUUUCAAUAUUGCUUCCCGAUAAACUUUUUCAACUGCGUAUUAUUCUGAGACCCAUGAACAGAAGAUAAUAAUAAUUUUCAUGGGGAAUCAAGAAUAUAGCCACCCCUAAUAUUUCUAUAAAAAGAAUAAUUUAUGAAAAUUAUGUGUUUGCUCAUUUCUUAGGUAUAAUUUGGAUCAUGCCAAAAGAAAGAAGGGAUGACCUUAACAUACGUGGAGUAGGAAAAACUCCGUAUAAUAUUCCUGGCGAAGACUGCACCGUACUCUUUUAGAAGCUUGAAAUUUGCUUCAACAUAAUUUAGCUACGGACCAUGCGAAAUUAUCUUUUGAUUCCUUAGAAUCUCGAACGAAAUUUGCUUCGAACUUUGCUUCUAUUCUAACGCUUUGUGAACCCAAGAUGGAAUGGAUUCAAUCUAAAUGUCAAACUUUAUUCCAACAUUUUGUUGAAGUUGCUUCUGUUUCUAGCUUUUGAAUGGAAUUGAAUACUAAAUUGUUAUAUCACAUUUAUGGGUUGUUCAAAUUCCUACAAUGAGAUAAAGACUUAGAAGUCUUAUUUUGAUAAAGUUAAGCUUUAUUUAUUUCUUAGGGGUAGACACCUAUUCACAAUUUGUUAUGAGUCAUCUUUUAAAUUGGUGGCCUUAUGCAACGUGGAGAGUAGGGUGAAGAUUAGUAAUAUUUACCCACUUACUAGUUAACUGGGUAAUAUCCUGUUACCCGGUAAUUAACCAAUUACCCGCAUAAUUUAAAAAUUAUCCCAAAUUACUUAAGAUUCUACUUAUUACUAUUUUAUUAUUAUACUUUAUAUAUACUUUUGCAUUAUAUUACCGUGUUUAUAUGGUACCUUAUAUGGUACUAGUUCAUAAUUAUCGGGUAUUGCCCGACCCAUAUUUUAUCCCAAAUUGGCCACUUUCAAUGAAACUCGCUUUCUUUAAUUCGUGUACCCAUUAUCCUUCAUGACACUUCUUUAUCACUUGUUAUAAAUAGCGUAAAUACAUUAAUGUCAAGAUGAUCUCAUCCCCGAGUCCACUUCAAUUAACUAAAGACCAAACUUGUAACGUACGAAAACGCGAGAUGUAACAUCUUUCCCCCCUUAGAAACAUUCGUCCUCGAAUGUUCAACUCCCCGUGAUCUAUAUAAAUUUGGCAGGAUCGCCUUUAUAACAACACCACUACCACCGUAGAAGCUUAAUAACCCAACACCACACAGAACCAUAAUUAUGAAUAACGACAAUGGCCUUAUAUGGCCAACGACAAUAACCAAUAUAAGAAUUUAUACACGUACCUUAUGGUUAUGAUGUCUCAGUUAGAACCUUCUCUGGAGGAGAAAAUAAGUAGGGAUAUUUAGACUUCAUGUCUUUCUCGGCCUCCCAAGUCAUUUCUUCCACCUUGUUGUUCCUCCAAAGUAUUUUCACGGAGGCUACCUCCUUAUUCCGCAGCUUGCGGAUUUGUCGGUCUAAGAUGGAAACCAAAAUUUCCUCGUAUGACUGAUUUCAGGUACCGGGACUAGUGAGCUGUAAUUUUCCGAGAUUCGGUACUUCAUGGAAAUUGUUGGAUAAGACCUGAUGUGAAUACUGUCGUAGGACCUGAGUUAUUGCUUACCUUUAAUGUAUUGUGAAUUUAGGAUUUGGGUUUGUGUUUUCGCUCGCCCUUCUAUGUCAUUAUUUUGGUAUUUUCGAUGUUACUUGCUGUAUUCUCCCCUUAUUGUGAUUGUAGUAUUGUUAGCCAUUUUGUGUAGUCUUUAUAUAUACAUCAUGUUCCAUUGUUCCUAUAUUUGUACAGUUUAUUGGACCGGUAGGUGUCUUGAUUGUUCCUCGCCACUACUCCAGCGAGGUUAGUCUUGAUACUUACUAGGCACCGUUGUGGUAUGCUCAUGCUACACUUCUGCACAUUUUUGUUAUGCAGAUCCAGGUACUUCCACUCAACCUUAUCAUCCUUGAGGCGAGGUGCUUCUAUAGAGACUUCGAGGUAUAUCUGCCGCGUCCACAGACCAAGGAGUCCCUUUCUAUCUUUCUGUAAUAGUAUAGCCCUUCAGUAGUUUUCCUUUUUGUUAGACAUUCCUGGAGUUGGAGCUUUUUAUGUAUCUCUUAGCUUGUGAUUCAUGGGGUUCCGGAUUUUGGGAGUGUUAGGUUGAGACUUUGUACUGUUAUGUGCCAGGCGGCAUCUUAAACACUAUUUUAUUUUACUAUUUCGGUUUUUAAAUUAUUUCUUCUGCAAUUGUUGUUUAUAUUCCUCCUUGUUAGGAUUACCUAGUCGUAGAGACUAGGUGCCGUCAUGAUGGUUCACGAAGGGUGAACGGGGGUCGUGACAAGUUGGUAUCAGAGCUCUAGGUUUAUAGGAGUCAUGAAUUACAAGCCGGUUUAUUAGAGUCUCGUGGAUCGGUACAAAGACGUUUGUACUUAUCUGCGAGAGGCUAUGUAACUGUUAGGAAAAUUCCACUUCAUUUGAUUUCCUUGUCGUGUGAAAUUUUGAUGUCACAAUUCUAAACUUCUGUCUUCUAUUCUCUCACAGAUGGUGAGGACACGUACUAACCGAGAUGAUAGGGCACCCGUGCCCCCUACUAAAGUCGU